ACAGGGACCACACGUGGAGAACAGGCUUCAGUGACACCAUGAAGCUGAUGUGAGACAAGGCUCACAUGAGAAAGCUCAAGGGGAAUCAGAGGCAGAACUCACUGCAUUUUCCAGCAAUCCAGGGGCUGUCUGCACAUCAGGAGUGGGGUCAGCAGGACAACUCUGCAGCCAUGGAGGAACCUGCAUCGGCCUAUUUUCCAAGCCAGCCUGUUCUGGGAAAGCUCAAAAGAAAUAUGAUUCCCCAGACUGCAGAGAAGAAAAGACAGGUCCAUUUAGCCAAGACCAA